rnacentral:lncRNA from 1 species
AUACCUAAUGAAGUAGUGCUCAGCAGUUAGCGCCAUUACCAUCAUUACCUUCCCUCCCAGGACAAGAUGCAAGAUUAUGAUUCUUAACCUAAUAUCAGAGAGCAUCGUUAGAUACAGACGUUGACGGUAUCACGUUUUUCACCUACACAAAACGGGAUUUCUCCCGACGGCCGAGAUUAUAGUUCUUGCUGGCGAUAGCAUCAACUACGUUGCAAACGCCCGUUCGUAGGAAAUGUUUUCGUUGAAAUUGCCGGAAAUCUUUCCGCUCUACUGCAGCGGAAGCAUUUCUAAUGCCGCAAGAGAUAUCAUCAAGGGAAGAUUACCAGUAGUCUCCAACAUGAAGAUCUGCAUUCUAGAAGACAAUCUAGGAUUAGGUGAGGAUGACGCCUUUAAGAAAGGACGCCUUCGCCUGCUUCCCUUGAGUCUAAUCGCGUUAACACAAAGCUCUUCAUCAACCAAAAAGAUCAAGCGUGCAGGACAAUGCGGCCGAAGAAGAAUCUGGCUGGUUACUCUUCCAAGCAGCGUCUUAUAGGCUUAUGCCUGACCUUACUCCAGCGAUCAGUAUCAGCGUUUCGUCAUUACAUUCAGCCAUUGAAGCUAUUUCCGGAACACGAUGUAACUCGGCUCGGAGAAAGAGAG